GAUCCACUGAGAUUCAGC
rnacentral:snRNA from 1 species